AAAGAAUUUCUAUUCAAAACAAAUAACGAUAAACGAAAUGAUCCUUAUAAUCGGCCGGAAAUUAUAUUCUGUUUCGUUUCUUUUCAUACUGAUAAUCUUGGGUGCAGUCAGUGCUUCAAAGGAUCAUCACUUUCCAGAAGGCUUUUUAUUUGGAACAGCGUCGAGUGCUUAUCAAAUAGAAGGAGGUUAUAAUGUUGAAGGAAAAGGACCGAAUAUUUACGACUACUACACAAAGAAGUCUCCAAAUAGAUUUUACAAUUCCAGUGAUGGAAACAUAGCAUGUGAUUCGUUUCACAAAUGGCGGGAGGAUGUUAAAUUACUGAAAGAAUUAGGUGUUGACUUUUACAGUUUUUCAAUUUCAUGGAGCAGAGUUUUACCUAAUGGAUAUUCCAAUGAUAUGAAUAUGAAUGGUUUGAGAUAUUAUAAUGACCUCAUCAAUAAACUGAUCAAAAAUGGAAUCCAACCAGUGGUCACCAUGUAUCAAUUCGAUUUACCAAUGGCUCUUCAAGAACUAGGGGGUUGGACAAAUCCCUACAUAGCUUACCAUUUUGAAGACUACGCCAAUAUUUUAUUCAGUUACUUUGGGGAUAGAGUGAAAUAUUGGAUAACUUUAAACGCAGACUGUCGAGGAUAUGGAGACGACCUUUUUCCCCCUUUCAUAAACUAUCCAGCUAUCGCAAACUAUUUGUGCCAACACGUGAUGCUCUUGGCACAUGCCAAAGUAUACCAUUUGUACGAUAACAAGUUCAGAAUGUUACAGAAAGGAAAUGUUGGAAUAACGAUCAAUGCCUCAUGGUACGAGUCAUAUAGUUCAUCCCCAGCAGAUUUGCAAGCCGCUGAAGUAGGACGGGAGUUUCAGUUGGGAAGUAUCAUGAACCCAAUCUUCCACACAGAUGGUGAUUAUCCAAAAAUUUACAAAGAACGAGUGGACAAGAUUAGUCGACUCGAAGGAUACCUCCAAUCAAGGCUUCCAGUUCUGUCAUCCCCUGAAGUUGAUUAUAUUCAGGGUACUUUCGAUUUUGUUGGUUUGAAUGUGUUCAAAAGCUGCUUCGUCGAGAAUGCUACCACCAAUUUCUCUACAAGAAAUUCUUCAGUUGAAAAGGAUAUGAAUAUUGUGGUUCAUAGCAAUGAACUGGGAAAUGAAGCAAAUUCUGACGAAAUGAUGAUUACACCAAAAGGUGUGAGGAACCUGCUGAACUGGGUCAAAGACAAAUAUGAUGACCCUGAAAUUUUCAUUACAGGAAACGGUUUUCCUGACGAGGAACAGAAAAACGAUACGGAGAGAAUAGAAUAUCUGCAGAAACAUCUGCACGCGAUAUCAGAAGCAAUCAUGGAAGAUAGGGUUAAUGUCAAAGGAUACGCGGUAUGGAGCAUUAUGGAUAGUUUUGAAUGGACAAAUGGAUACAGAGAUAAAUUCGGAUUGUAUCACGUUGAUUUCUCCGAUCCAAACAGAAAGAGGACGGCCAAAAUGUCAGCGAAAUGGUUCAAAAAAGUGAUCGAAGAGAGAAGAAUCGUUGGCAAGAAGGAAGUGAUGAGUUGAUUUCAAUGAAAUUUUAUGAAAUAAAUUGGGCAGUUUUUGAAUUAGUGAAUGAGUAUACCAAAAUUAUUUAUCUUGUAUAUAAAAUUCUCAUUUCUGCAAUUUAUUGAUCUCAGUGAAGAUAUACACAUUUUGAAUUGGAAAUUUUGAAAUUAAAGCAUUUCAACAA
rnacentral:misc_RNA from 1 species